GUCUUGCAGGAACUGAUCCUCACUGCACAAAGGAGCCGGGAUUGGUAAUUCCUCUAAUGAGGCACACAAAGAAUGAAAAGAAGAAAUUCAGAAAAAACUUGCUGAAUCAAUGGCCGCUGAACCUGGUCAAGUUGACUGGACAUCUUGGAAGUGUCAUCAGGUUCUUGGGAG
rnacentral:lncRNA from 14 species